rnacentral:rRNA from 1 species
CGAGCAGGUGGUCUGUUAAGUCUUUUGUGAAAACCCGGGGCUCAACUCCGUGGAAUGCAGGAGAUACUGGCAGGCUAGAGAACAGUAGAGGCUAGCGGAAUUCCUGGUGUAGCGGUGGAAUGCGUAGAUAUCAGGAAGAACACCUGUGGCGAAGGCGGCUAGCUGGGCUGUUUCUGACACUCAUCCGCGAAAGCGUGGGGAGCAAACA